CUGAAGGCACCACCACCAAGGUCAGCCAGAGGGGGAUACAGGGAACACCCCUAUGGUAGAUAUUGAAGGUCCUCUUCACCUGUGACCUCCUCAAAGACAAUUCAUAGCCUGUGCUCUUCACAUAAACAGCAACAAGACAAAUCUGCACAAAGAGCACAUAAAUGAUAGCAGAUAUGAUGGACUAAAAGGGAUACAGGACCUCCUACUUUUGUGUGGCUGAAUAGUAUUCUGAUGCAUAUGGACUGCAUUUGCUUCCUCUGUUCAUCAGUGGAUGGCCAUUUUGGCAUUCCCAUGUCUUGACGACUGUGAAAAGAGCCGCAGUGAACAUAAGAAUACUAAAGAAGAAGUUAAUUUGGCCUGGGGCUGAAAAAACAUGGCAUCAUAAAAGAGAUGAGGUUGGAUGGAUUGUCAGAUAUGGAGAAAAAGAACAGCGAUGACUCACCCACCCUUCCUUCGCCCGUGUCAUAAUCACCACGUGCAGGUCGCCAUACUGAAUAAUGAGUGCGAAUCGCAGAUGUCUGUCAAUCAGGUCACUGAAAUAUUCAAAUGGUGACUGAGUUGUCAAAUUCAUCAAAGAAAUUGUACGUUGACUGUGGCCACAGCUUUAUUGAGACUUCCAAAAGUCCCAUGAGAACCAAGGACAAAAUUUCCUGCAGCUUAAACUACUGGAUUAGGAGAAAAUUUCUAAAUGUAAAUCGCUAACGAAGACAACGUGGUGCCAAGGAAAUCAUGGGAAAUUCAUAGCAUUCAGCAGCUGAUACAACUAACUUGAAAUAAAGCGUUUUUUGGAGUAGAGAAUGGUAAAACCCAAAUUCGUAAGGGAAAUAGUUAAAAUACACAUUGUGUUCAGGGGCCAUGUAGCACUUGAUGUUUGGGAUACAGUUAAUAAAAAUGUAUAAGGAAUAAUGCAAGCCUUGGCACUAUAAAAAGCUAUCAAAUUGUUGAGAUCUUUAAAUAAAAGGUUUUUUUUUUGUUUCUCAUCCUGUAGAAAUGUUAUUUGAAUGUACAAAUGGAAUUAAUAAAACAUGAUUUUGG
rnacentral:lncRNA from 1 species